rnacentral:rRNA from 1 species
UACGUAGGGGCCUAGCGUUGUCCGGAUUUAUUGGGCGUAAAGAGCUCGUAGGCGGUUCGGCAAGUCAGCUGUGAAAUCUCCACGCUUAACGUGGAGGGGUCAGCUGAUACUGCCGUGACUCGAGUCCGGUAGGAGAGUGUGGAAUUCCCGGUGUAGCGGUGAAAUGCGUAGAUAUCUGGAGGAACACCGGUGGCGAAGGCGGCAUCCUGGACCAACACUGACGCUGAGUGAGCGAAAGCCAGGGGAGCAAACGGG